rnacentral:lncRNA from 1 species
CAGGAGAACGUGGCUGCAGUGCCAAAGGAAGGUGAAGAGCCUUAAAGCUAAAUUUAAAGAAACAAAUGAGUCCAAUAACCGAAGCGGUCGCGGUCGCAUCACCUGCCCAUUUUAUAACGAGCUUAGCCGUGUUAUGGGCGAUAAACCCAGCUGUCAGCCGUUGGAGCUGCUGGAUAGCUACGAAGCAGGCGAAGAGGAGCCUGAAACUCCGAGGAGGUCGGCAGACAGCCUGGAUAUUGAUGGCGAGACAGGUAAGUUUUCAGUCUUGACAUUCACAGCCUACGCAUAUAGAAAGUCUUGAGUGGAAACGCACUUUAAUAUAAAAUAAAAGUUAGAAAUAUUGCAAAGAAGUUUUACAUUUGGAGACUAGAAAGUUGGCGUGUUUAUUAGAGGAAAAUUCUGUUAACAGAAUAAACGAGCCAGUCAGCUGCUCCCAGUUUUCUUUGCACAACUCGGAAACCCAUCAGAGAAGCAGAGACUACCCUGUACGUGUCUGUCAUUCAAAAAUGUACAGUCUAUCUAUGAUCUGAUCCAGUGCACUGGUGACCUGGAUCUGAAGAACCAAAUCCCAUAUUAUAACCUAACAUAUAAGUUAAGAGGGGGGCUACCAGGUGACCCUCAUCUUCUCAGGGUAACGUGUGUGUGUUGAGGGUGUUAUGUAAAGUGGUAACGUGAACCAGCUCAUAAUAUUUGCAUUGAAUACAUCAAAUACAUCACAUUAUAGCAUUACAUGAUAUGUUUGCUUGCACCAGAUGAUACAAGCACCGAGUCACUCCCAUCUGCAUCUUCUGUGUCUUCUGCACCAUCUACAUCUGGAGAAAGCUCAUCAGCUGCAGGCAUUACAGAGACCACUGGAAGAAGCACAACAGCCACCAAGUCCUCUGGAACUACAUCUGCAAAGAGCAGGAAAAGGAAGACCAAGAUGGAAGCAACACAGGAAAUCUUCACUGAAAAGAUCAGCAGUGCCCUCAACAACACAGACGACACUGAGCUUCAAUUGAAAAUGCAAGCAGCACAGCAUGAACAUGAGCUCAAAAUGCUCUCAAUGUUCACACAGUUUCUUGCCAGGUCAAAUUCCCCAUGUCCACCUUUCUACCAGGCACCAGUCCAGCCCUCACAGUACAACCCAAGACAACUUGCCGCCUCAGCCUACCUUUUACAACUUUACUCAGCCCCCUAA